CAGGGGGUCAGAGUGGGAGGCUGGCCCGGCCUCAGGAGCAGCGGAGCGGCCCUUCCGGGGCUCCAAGAACCCCAGAGCCAGGUGGGGGGCUCUGGCCUGGAGCUGCCUGGGGCAGGGGUGCAGAGCCAGCACCGUGGAGGCUGUGGGCUCAAGAAUGGUCAGCUGAGCCCCGUGGCCUGUGCCCAGGUGGCCCCGCUCCGAGGUCAGGUGCUUUGGGGACACGGCCAGCCUCCUACGGCAUCAGGGCCUCCGCCUCCACGCUCCCCAUCCUGCUCCUGACCCAGCUCCUGCUCUGGGCCACAGACCUGAUCUCCUGACCCCAAAUGCCCGGCCAGGCAGGACACAGGACACAGAGCCUGGCUGUGGCCCCAGGCCUGUGUGAUGGAUUCCCAGGCCCUCCCCUGGAGAGCUGUGGAGCACCAGGUGCACGGGGCUGUUUCCUUCCUGGACUGGGCCGGCCUUCCCCAGAGUGGCAGCCACAGCAUGAGCUAAUUUGUUUGUUUAUUUUAUUUUGAGACAGGGUCUCACUAAUUUACCCAGGCUGGGCUCAGACUGGGUCUCAGCUUCCCAGAGUGCAUUUUUUUAAAAAGAAUUGGGCAGCAGUCCUGUCCCCAGCCUGGCCACUGCCCAGCUUUCUGUGUCUCCACUGUGGUCAGCAUUUCCAGAACACUGUGGCUGGAGCCCCCAGGGUCUGCUUCCCCUGGGCCACUCCCCGCCCCCUUCUCAGGCAGCUGUGUUUACAGUUUGACCGCAUGGGUCCCGGGCUCAGUGGCUGUCUUCUUUCUCAGGCCACCACUCACCACACUGCGGAGACAGACCUUGGUCUGUGCGCCCCGGUCCCUGCUGCGGACCUGAGGUCAGUUUUCAUCAGAGAUCUGAACCAGCCGUGGACACCCACACACAGGCACUGGUGUGGACACACCUGGGCUUGCUGGGGCCCGGGGGCCCUGCCGGACUGCGGUGAGAUGCUGCCCUGGUGACAGCAGGUGCCACAGUCCCUGCGCACCUAUCUUCACUGGCCAUACAUGCCAGCGGUGCUCAGACACUGGCCUUCUCUAUCCUGAGUGUUUUAUUUACAGGCGACAGAACCCAGGGCCAUCCCCUGCACCACCCCCUGCCCCUUUGUGCAGAGGGUUUUGCUAAGUUGCCCAGGCCGGGCUUGAAACUGGGCUCCUUCUAUCUCAGCCUUCCAUGUGCUGGGGUCACAGACCUGCACGCCAGGCCAGCCUGUUUCUCAUGAGGGACAAGCCUGUGUCCAGAUUCGUCUGCUCAGGCUGUGACCAGCGGCCUGUUUUGUAACCUGCAAAUCUGCUGCUGUGGGGGCCUGGCCCAGGCCCAGCUGCCCUGUGCUGUCUGUAAUCCUGGUGCUCAGGUCCUGGGGCUGCUGGGGAGGAGCCCUCGUCCCAUUACAGGACGUGAAGGCAGAGUGUCCGGCAGGCCUGUGCCUCGUGGCUGUCUCUGGCAGUGGUGGCCACAAGAUAGAGGCCCUGGCCAGCCUGAGGUCAGACAGGGCUCUGGUCCCUAGUGAUGGAUGCUGUGUUCCAGGCCAUGGUGGUACAGUUGGGGAACACUGCCUGGCAGAGAUGAAUCUAAGUCCAGCUGAGACUGGCAGAAGAUGAGGGUCCACCCUAUCCCAGUACCGCCAAUCCUAGCCUCCCCCACCACUUCCCGGCCUUGCCCUGGCCCACAGGGUCCAGCCUUCUUGCGGCCCUGGCAUCCCCUGUCCCUCUCCAUGGUGCCACCAGACUUACCUCACCAGCUGGGCUGCUGCUGGGAGGGGCUAAGGGCCUGAGGUCGGGCACCUCAAGCCAGACACAGGCAGGAGCUGAGUGCAGACAGCUAAUUUUGGGGUGUGGGGCCCAUGUGCAGCGGAGGGGGAGGCCAGGCAGGGAAGGUGGGGCUGGCUAGGGACCAGCUGGGGGAACCCAGCCCAGGAGGACACUUCCUGAGGUGACCUGGACAGUGGUCAGGGCUGUAGAGAGGAGCCUGGGAGAGGGGACAAGCUAGGGAGGUGGGGGUUGGAGGCUGAAGGCUGCGUGCAGGCUGAUGCCCAGAGGGGACACGGAGGGCAUCUAAUGAACUCUCGACCCAGGUCCCUGUGGGUUGCCACACCAUGUGGCAGGCCCUGUGAAGCUGAGGAGACACAGGGUGGCCUGGAACCAGCCGCUUGGGGACAGUCGGGCCACCAAGCCUGAUAGACACCAGCCCUCGGGCCUGGGAAGCAGCGUUCAGCCUUCUCCGGCUCUGAAGGAAGACCCCCACACACGGCUCCAGGCACUGCACACUGUGGCCCACGGUCUCCAGAACAAACACCGAAUCUCCUGCGGCUCUGCACCCGAGCCGCUGUGUGACCUGACAGUCCUGGCCUCUCUGGUCCAAGGUUUCUUCACAGGGAAAAGCAAGGCCAGGACCAAGCCCGAGGUCUGCCCAACUCGAAGGGCAGCUUCUCGGUGGGGGACACCCCUGAGUGUCGGGGAGCAGUCGCUUAGAGCCCCAGAUCUGGGCAACAGUACGUCGUCCUUCGGUGGUGGAGGAUAAGGGGCUCCCAGGGGGUGUCACCCAGAGGCCCAGUCCAAGGUGGCUUCGAACCUGAGCCUGGGCUGCUCUGGGGCCUUUGUGUAGUCCCCCUUGGUUGCUCCGGACCUGCCUUGGGGGACAGAAUAAAGCUUUCUCAGAGGAGAGUGAGGAGGAGGGGCUUGGGUCCAGGGUCCCCGCCCCGCUGCUGCGCAGGCGCAGGCCCAGCGUGGUUUCGGGGUGCGGAGGAGAGGGCGGGCGCGGACAAGCCCAGUUAGCUCCUAGCUGGCCCGUGUGUGAAAGUGUCCCCGCUCUGGGCUUCUGCGAAUUCCUACCGUACAAAUCGGAGCAAUUCUUGACAAGAUUUUUGAGUUUUGUCAGAUGUGAAUUGUUAAGAUUUAAUUGAAAAAAUGAAGAGAACGCAACAGCUAUUUGGAAGGGAGUGACCCAGAACCAAUUAGAAUGAGUAACAAUUGACCAUUCUCCACCAAGAGCCACAUCGGGGAUCAGAUUAGAGCCAGGCAGCCCCCACCCUGCCCGCCCCGCUCCAAAUAGCAUUAGUGAGAGAUUUCCAGGAAUUGUUUUUCCGAUCAAUUUUCCUGGUUUUGAAGGUGAAGUUUAGCUGGGCACCAUGCCGAGGGUGCUGGCUGGUCACCUCCGGCAGGGCGAUGGACAGUGUGGGGACCAUCCUGAAAAAACAGGUCAGGCCAGCAGCAUUCCUGGUCAAAUUGCUGUUGACAGCCGGGACAGGCAGGGGGAGGACCAGAGAAAGGGCCUUUCAUCUGAGGGGCCCCCUCAGAUAAUUGGUCAUUCUUUCCUCCUGGGCCUCCUCUCAGCUGGGGAAAAUUCCCCACUAAGCCAGGGCUUCCCUGGCAACUCCCUAAUCCCCCCACCCCCGCAGGUGCAGAGGAGGUGUCGGUGGCCUCCUGCGGGCACGGGCUUGGCAGCUGGGUCUCCAGCCUGGGCUGCAAGCGGUCACAAAGCCAUGAGGGAGUUACUGAGACAUCAGCACGGCUGUAAUCCCAGCACUGGGGAGGCUGAGGCAGGAGGAGUCCUCAGAGUUCAAGGCCAUCCUGGCUGCAUAGGGAGACCCUGUCUCAAAACACCGCGACAACACAACAGUAGUAACAGCAACAGACCAGCAGGCCUGAGGGAUGGAUAGAAGGGGUUGGGCCAGAAUAGCACGGGUUGCCAGUUCCAUUGAAGAAACAAAGAUGUCCAUGUAACUCAUUUGUAACCUUUCCUAGGUGACCUGGGCCACGCCACAGAGCACAGUGGCACCAGCCAGUGGCUGUGCAACCCCACAAGUCUCCCGGCACGCCCCGCCACCUUGAUGUCACCCAGUGACAUCGAGCCGGAGGGAGGUGCUGCCGAAAGACCCCCUGCCUCUGCCUCCCCCCAGGACUUCAAGGCCCAUGGUGGAAAACCUGAGCGCUGCUUAUGCAGACACCCUGAAUCUGCAGGCUGAUUUGGGUAGAGCCGGAAUCUGCGCUACUCGGGAGGCAUCCAGGGCAUUCAUGAGGCACACUCCUGGGGGACGGGCUGCUCAUGGAGGUGUAAUCCUGGGGUCUGUGUCUGGGCCCUGGCCGUGCUUAUGCGGUGCUGCCUCCUGCUUCUCUUUGGAGCCCCCAUGAAUGGAGCAACGGUCCUUUCCCGUACCCUUCCACUGUGAGAGUCCUGACUUGGCUCCAAUGAACUGGACCGAACCCCCCCCCCACCCCCAGGCCUGAGCCAAAUCUUCCUCAGGCCUCCCUGGACGGGUGGCAGGGCUGAGGCUCACAGACAGUGCGCUGACCUGACAGUGCCUUCCAGUCCACCAACGUGUUUUGUAAUUUUCCUAGUAAACAACUUGCAUGCUCCUAAAAGUUGUUCAUAUUAUUGGGAAUUUGUAUAUAUUUAUUUGGGUAUUGAUUGGUGAGUGGCAUAUAGGAAUUUAAUGGCUUUUAUAGCCAUCAAAUUUGCUGAUUAUUAGCUAUUUGUUCAUGGAUUAUCUUGGUGUGGGCUUUCACAGCAUAUUCCAUAUUUGCAUCUUUGAAUGUCUUCUCAUCCAAAGUCGCACAUGUACGUGUAGUAGGAAGCACCCCCCGUGGCAAUACAUGGUCCAUGGUGACCCUGCUCAGUGGGAAGGCUUCCAGCAUGAUGUCCACUCCACAGUCUGCAUGCUUCCUCCUCCCCCUCAAGCUGGCGAACCCGCAGGUGGACUGUCCUCCCUUCUGUCCUCCAGGAACAGGAUUCCUUGGAGGCGUGGAGGACACAGGCCUCCCCUCCAGAGGGGAAGCCCCCUCUCCGGCUUCUUGGCAGCCUGUGUGACCGCUGCCUUCAUGGACACCGCAGACGUGAUCCUACAAACCCAGCGCCCUCUGCCUUGUCCCUUUCUGGGGACACAGACUGGCUCUGGCCCGGUGGAGGGGAUGGCAUCCUAGUGUGUGGAUGACAGGAGGUGGCAGUCCUGUUGUGUCACAUGGUCUGACUCUGCAGCUGGCCAGCGUCCUCUGCAGCUCUCCAGCCUGUCGCUCCUCUAAGUGGAUCUGAAUAAGGACCUCCCACCCCUUUGUUUUUUGUUAAGAAUUUAAAAAUUAAGUCUGAAUGAAGCUGA